UGCCAGCCGCCGCGGUAAUACGGAGGGUGCGAGCGUUAAUCGGAAUCACUGGGCGUAAAGCGUACGUAGGUGGCAAAGUCAGUCAGGCGUGAAAUCCCGGGGCUUAACUCCGGAACUGCUCUUAAAACUGUGGAGCUAGAGACAAUCAGAGGUGGGUGGAAUUCCAGGUGUAGAGGUGAAAUUCGUAGAUAUCUGGAGGAACACCGGUGGCGAAGGCGGCCCACUGGGAUUGUUCUGACGCUGAGGCGCGAAAGCUAGGGUAGCGAAAGGGAUUAGAUA
rnacentral:rRNA from 1 species